AUUAGUGGGGCAUGUGUGGGGCUAUUGCACACAUCCUGCUCCAAUUUCACUGAGUGGGGAGGUGGAACCUGUGUAAAUGUAGUCGAUCAAAAGGAGAAGGAAUACUGAGCAAUGAAACAGCACAAUGAAUCCAAAGGACCCCAGACAAGAGCAGCAAGCGUGUAUAGUUGUGUGAAGCAACUUCUCCAGAUCUGAAAGAAUGUAUGCCUACAAUCCCCUUGGAUCUGAAAGCAGUUAUCCAGGACAAACACCAGAAGAACAUGGAACAAGAAUUUCAGAAGGACUUACAUUUUGGCUGUGAUGAUUCUUUGCAACUAAGUGAGAUUGGCCUUUUUUCAUGCCGUAAGAUCCUGCCCCAUUGUCUGAAUUCCAGGAGUUUCCUGUGGAUAUUGUUCCUGAAGGACUUACAGCAGCAUCACAGGAAGAAGUUCACUCUCCUCAUCAAGGAAGUGUUGGAAAAUAUUAGGAAAGAUUGAAAAUAAAACCAUUAUAAUGUAUUAUAUGCAUUGAUGGUGCAGCUGCAUUUGGAAUACUAUCUAUAGUAAGAAAAAGAAUAUCAUAAUAUUGGGAAGAAAGCAGAAAAGUACAAGCAAAAUCAUUAAAGGACUGGAACACCCUCUC